CGAAGCCUGGACAAGCAGAACGACCAGAGAGUUAGUUAA
rnacentral:rRNA from 1 species